GACGAACGCUGGCGGCGUGCCUAAUACAUGCAAGUCGAACGCAGUGGGGACGGGUGAGUAACACGUGGGUAACCUCCCAUCAGAGGGGAUAACACUUGGAAACAGGUGCUAAACCGAUACUGAUGGAUGAACCCGCGGGGGAUUAGCUAGUUGGUGGGGUAACGGCUCACCAAGGCCACGAUGCAUAGCUGACCUGAGAGGGUGAUCGGCCACACUGGGACUGAGACACGGCCCAGACUCCUACGGGAGGCAGCAGUAGGGAAUAUUGGGCAAUGGACGAAAGUCUGACAGAGCAACGCCGCGUGAGUGAAGAAGGUUUUCGGAUUGUAAAACACUGUUGGUAGAGAAGCGGUAUCUACAGAGAAAGCCACGGCUAACUACGUGCCAGCAGCCGCGGUAAUUC
rnacentral:rRNA from 1 species